GACGAACGCUGGCGGCGUGCUUAACACAUGCAAGUCGAACGGAAAGGCCCUGCUUUUGUGGGGUGCUCGAGUGGCGAACGGGUGCGUAACACGUGAGUAACCGGCCCUUGACUUUGGGAUAACUUCAGGAAACUGGGGCUAAUACCGGAUAGGAUCUCCUGCUGCAUGGUGGGGGUUGGAUAGUUUCGGCGGUUGGGGAUGGACUCGCGGCUUAUCAGCUUGUUGGUGGGGUAGUGGCUUACCAAGGCUUUGACGGGUAGCCGGCCUGAGAGGGUGACCGGCGACAUUGGGACUGAGAGACGGACCAGACUCCUACGGGAGGCAGCAGGGGGGAAUAUUGCACAGUGGGCGGAAGCCUGAUGCAGCAACGCCGCGUGCGGGAUGACGGCCUGCGGGUUGAAAACCGCUUUCGCCUGUGACGAAGCGGGAGUGACGGUACUGAAUAAAGAAGCACCGGCUAACUACGUG
rnacentral:rRNA from 1 species